rnacentral:misc_RNA from 1 species
UUGGUUGAGCAAAGAGGCUCAUUAGCCCAAACUACACAAGGCACUUGCAAGGGAGAAAGGCUCCCUUCAAAAAGCAACUCUACCAGUCCUUAGGAAGCAGCAAACUAUGCAGUCCCAAAAUCCAGAAUUAAAAAGCGCUUAGAAAGCACAGUACAACAUAUGCUUUAGAAGGCACAUUUAUGAAGAUUGUUGAUGUUGGGAUCUGUGAGCUUAUAGACUUCAAAUGUAGCACUUAGGCCAGCUGCUCAAAUGGUGAAUCAAAGAACAGAACCAUGCAUUGUUUGUAGAAAAGGAUUGCCAACCAUAUCAGUCAUCAUACGAGGAGUGAGGAGCAGCAGUACAUCCAGGGUCAAAAGGAUCUUCAGAUCCACAGCAAUGCCAGUAUUGAAAAACUCUGCCAGAGUCAGGAGUAUCCAUAGUGCCUCCAGAGUAAACACUCUCAAACUUCCUCUUUGUUUCACCUCCAAAAUGGGCAAUAUGGAAGCGACAAGCGCGAGGGUGAUUGAGAGAAGGGUCAAAUUGGGUUUUGCAGUUCUUGCAUGUUCUGAGGGUUUUGCCGCCAUUGGAAUUUAUUACUGAGCACCGAAUCACAGGCAAUCUUAGAGAUUCUGCGGUCGGAAUCAAUGCUGGUCUCUGGUGGAGGAAUUGAGGACAAAACGAUGCGUUCCGAUUGAAAGUAGAUAAGCGAGUGAGCGCACGGUCGGAGAUGGUGAAGGCCAUAUCCCCUCCUUGCACUAUGGGAGAAAAUUAG